AUUGGGGGAUAGCACUAUAAAUUCGAUCUUUCAAAAUGAGACGCUGCCCCCCGGAAGAAGGAUGGAUAACCCUAAACCGUCCCCCGAUCCUCAACACAUCCCACCCAACGCGUCGCCUCCCGGGCCUCGGGAGGCUCAGGGCCAACCUCCCCCUCCCGCCUUACACGCACCAUCUCCAGGCCUUUCUGAAGCCCUCAACCCUCCCCAUCCUGAUCUUACCCCUGCCCCUGCCGCUGCCGCAGCCCCAGCGGCCAAUCAAACUAAUGAUAUCCAAAAUACUGGUCUUUUUGUGGGCUGGAAUUUAAACAAGGGAUGACUUUCUGAGACGUUCUUUAUGAGGAGCCGAAGCUUGAGUUUCUUCCAGGUAUGGGGUCUACUUUUAUCAGUUCAUAAGUACUUCUACGUAAUAAUUUUCUGUACCCUGCUUUAUCAGGGGGGAUGGUGUCUGUGCUACUUAAACAUCAUGCUGAGUUCUCCUCUGGAAUUAUGUAUCUUCCACUAUGUAGUACUGCAAUUAAUAUAAGUGUUGGCCAUCCAUGCUUCUAUUUGUCCUCAUGGAGCAUAUGAAGGUGGUUGUUUGAAGCAAUUANNNNNNNNNNNNNNNNNNNNNNNNNNNNNNNNNNNNNNNNNNNNNNNNNNNNNNNNNNNNNNNNNNNNNNNNNNNNNNNNNNNNNNNNNNNNNNNNNNNNNNNNNNNNNNNNNNNNNNNNNNNNNNNNNGAGUUACCACCAAGAGUUGCAGAAUAAACUGGUAGAUGCAAAAAAAACAGAGGGAAAACAGUUAAGGAACGAGCAGCUUAAGGCGAGUAGAAUAACCCACAAAGAACGAGCAGCUGUAAACUAAGACGGGGAUUGCCAGAUCUGGCCACCUCGAGGUCGCCGGAUCUGGCGCCGGCGGAGCUCGGGCGAGCCGCGAGCUCUCCCAACCCAAUCCAGGCGAGCCCAGGCUCCGCCGAGGGCGGCGAGCUCCCGGCUCGCCAGAUCCGGCGACCUCGAGCCUCGCCCUCGCCGGAUAUUCCAUUGGGCGAGGCUCGAGCUCGAGCUCGCUGGCCUCUGGCCUCGCCAGAGAUCGGCGACCGCGAGGGCGAACCAGACGAGGCCCAAGGCUGGCGGUCGGCGGCGGCGAGCCUCCAGCUCGCCCGAGCUCCAUCGAGAUGAGAGCGAGACUCAGGCUCGCCAGAUCUAGGCGAGCUCGAGCUCCGCCGAGGCCGGCGAGCUCCGCCGAACCAGGCGAGCCCGAGCCUCGCCCGAGCCGGAUCUAGCCUCGGGCGAGGCACAGCCUCUCCUGUCUCGCCACAGGCCAGCGAGCUCCUCGCGGUGGCCUGUCGCCGCUGGUCGCGGGCCAAGGAAGAAGAAGAAAAGGGAAGAAAGAACAGAAAAAAAGGAGAAAAAAAUUAAAAACUCGAUUUCAUUGCCCUUCUUUCCUUACUCAUUUUCCCCGGAAGCUGUCAUUUCUGCCCUCUUUCUCACGAAACCUAGGUUUCUGAUCUCAUCCUCCUCCUCCUUCGACAUCGACGAUCGACAGCAGCCGAGCGCUCUCGGACGAAGGACGAGGGUUUCUGAUCUCGUCCUCCUCCUCCUUCGACGCCGACGAUCAGCAACGGCGGAGCGUCCCCCUCGUCCAGCGGUGCUCGAUCUCCACCCUCACGAAGCCCAGCAUUUCUGAUCUCGUCCUCCUCCUUGAUGUCGACGAUCAGUAGUGGCCGAUCGCCGCUGCGAUUGCUCCUCCCAGCCGCUCCUCUCCCUCGGCGACGGUAUCCUCACUUCCUCAUUUCCAUCGGUUUCCCCCUGUUGCCUUUUGUUUCUGUUGAUCAGCUCGGUGCCGAUCGAUCGCUCGCCCCUCGGUCGCCACGAUUGAUGUUCCCGCGUAAUGGAUGGAGCUGAUUUGGCGGUGUUUGCGUGAUCUUGCAAUUCACCCUCUUGGUCGUGUUUUUUAUGUUUCCGAGCCUUGAGAAGAUUUUUGCCGGGCGAUUUAUGAUGGAUCUAACGUGAUUGUGUUUAGCUUUGCUGGUCAUGUCGGCAGCUUGUGUAGUUUUUAUAGGGAAAGUGAAGGAAUCUGUUCUUCAACUAAAUUUUAGAUUUCUUAUAGUUUGAGCUCUCCUCUCUCUCUCUCUCUCUCUCUCACAGAAUUGAAAAGCGAGGCAAGAGUAAUUUCGGGAUGUGUCAUCGUCAGGUCAUCCCGAGGGCCAAGACGCAUGAUCUAAUGCCUCCAGCUGGAUAAUUUGUCUUGAGAGAGUUUACAUUAAACCAGAUCACAAUCACAGAUAAGCACAGAGGAGAAAACUACACCAACCCUCAAGGUCAUUAAAUCAGGAUUCUGGACAGUGCACGGAUCAAUUCAUCUCUGAGUUUGACAAUCAUCUCCCUCCUUCUAGACUACUCCAUGAGAAUUUGGGUGGCAAAACUACCAGCACACGCUCUCUCUGACUAGUAGCUGUGUGAAUUAUCUGGUCGGUAACAAUGACAUUUGUCGAAACAACAUUGGGGGGAACUCUAGCCUGAGAACAAUAUAAAGUUGCACCAUCAAAACAAUACGCUUUCAAAAUGAGCAGAAGUGAGAAUUUAAGACAAUCAAAUCUAUAACAUGCAACGUGCGUCAUUAAUGUUCAUGCAAUAUAUCUGCUGCCAAUGACAUGCUUGAUUUGUAAUGUUUCAAAAUCUAACAAAUAAAGAACUAGCCAAGAAAUCAAAUUAACGUAUCACAUAACUGUCAAUGUGCUAUACGCAAUCUAUACAACUUAACAGAAGGAAAACCAAUUUUCGGCUGCAAAAGAGAAACGAUCCAACCAAAUUAUGCAUGAGCAUAAAGUGUUAUUGCAAUAACCUCUGGUCUGAGGAGAGAGAUACUCCGGUUGUCCAUAAGUAUGAUGUUAUUGCCAUGAAUUUCUCUCUGAAACGUCAGAUGGGGUGCAGGUCGGUAGGAAAGAUAGGCUCAGUAUGGAAGAUUGGCUGGCCUUCCUCGGUGCAAGUGCAUUACUUGCACCACCAUCAUCUGGGACCUGGCUAGCUGACUGGGACAAUAUUGUAGCAAUUUCUCAGCGGUUCUUUGCUCUGCAGACUUGUGGGAGGCCUCUCUGCUUUGAGGUAUUGCUAUAGAGCGCGUCCAGCAGGUGUAUACUCCCGUUCUGGCUCUUGCUCUGGCACCCGUUCCUCUUCGUCACCACUCUGCUUUAUGUUUCAAAGGUAAACCAACAAAUAAUGAAAUUAUGACGCUAUAUAAGUGCAAGUCAAUGCAUGAAAACCUCAGCACCAUUGAGAUCAUGAACAAAUUUGAUUUUAUUGCCCAUAAAUUUUCUAAUGGAUCAAAUAGCUUAAUAUACCCAGUGAAAAACUCAAAAUACAGACCAGCAUCCUACCUUCAAGGAUGUCAGCAAUUCAAGCUAAAAGCAACAUUAGGACAGGAUGAAGAGAAAAAAUAUAUCUUUCGACAGGAAUUUGAAAGCAAACUCGUGCAUGCACAAAAGUUAAGGAGGAAAAUAAGUAGUAUGUUCAAUGCAUGAGUCCUCCUUACACGUGUUUGCGACUGAACUUUCCUUCAUUAGUGGAAUAAUAACAAAUUAAAAAAGGAAAGACAUUUGCAACUUCAUAAUCCAAAUUUCAACUCCCAGGACCAGAAUAAAUAAAGAACAAUGACAAAGGGAUUUAUUUAGUUGCCCUUUCCAUCAAAGGAGCAUGGUUAAUAGUGGAUCCAUGAAGUUGCUCUUUAGCACAACAGAGAGUUUCUUCAGCAUAUCAGAGAAAUAACCAUUGGAUCACCAUCAUAAUCCCUUGGUCAAUAUUUAACACCAUCAUGUGCACUCUUAUUCUAAAGUUUCCAGCCCUAACAGCAUAAGAGAAGGCAAUUCAGAUAAAAUACCCCGUUGGUCAUUUCGUUUGGAUGUGCUGCCUAUGCUUCUCUGUAAGAAACAGCUUUUCUGACACACUUUCCCCAACCAAGAGCCGCUUCCUCCUCACUUUGAUAUUUCUCCCAUCUACAAAACACAAGUGAUCAUAAAAAGCAUUAAGAGCAAGAAUCUUGAAAGAUGGAGGCCCAUAUUUUCUCCUCACUUAUAGUUACAGAACAGUCAUUCUGAUAAAAGAUUUAUUCCUCCUACCAAAGAAAAGGAGAAAGAAUCUGGAAAUGCAGCAGGGUUGUUCAUCACCUGGAAAAGAAACGAGUUAUUUUCGCUGCAGGACUACAAAAGGCAAGAACCAUCCUUUGAUCAGUAUCAGUAGAGAAGCCACUCAGACAGCUAUGGAAAACUACUGAUACUGCUUAUGUUGUAACUUCUUCUUCUUUUGUGUGUGUGUUUUCGUUUUUUUUUUUGUAAGAGUAAGCAAUAUAUUAAUAGGGGUCAAACUGUACAAACAACACGGCUCCAAAAGCUUACACUCAAAAUGAACACGCUCAUUAAGAGUGAAAGGAAGCCGCGGACAAGCAAACAAAACGACCAACAGCAAGCCAACGGCAAAACAAGCCUGGCAAAAACACCUAAACAACCACUGAAAAGCCUAAGUCAUACUACAAUCAGAGGAAGCGAAGAUAAUGGGGUCCACAUCCCACGAGCGUUGCAUCCACCUGUUCCUGGGAGAGUCCUCAACAUUCUCAAAGGUAAGGGCCUUAUCCUUAACAACCUUGAGGAGAUGCUUCUUCAUGGCCGAAAUAGAUAACGGCUCCCCCCUGAACAGAAUGUUGUUCUUGUUUCUCCAGAUGAUGUGACACAGCGCCCCAAAGGAGAACUGGGCAACACACUUAUAAAACUCCUUGCCGCUAAGCAAGGUAAUGGCCCAACUGAGAGUCUCCUCCCAAGUCCUGUUAGUCCAGGGGAGAUUGCAUCUAGUAGCCCAGAAAAAGGCAAUACUCGAGGUAAUGCGACAACCAAAAAAGAGAUGAUUGAUUGAAUCAGGCACCUCGUUGCAAAAAGGGCAGGAUGCAGCAUCAAUCCUAUCAUAAGACAUGAGAAGAGACUGUGUAGGUAACCUCCUCUUGGUGAUGAGCCACAGGUUCAGUUGGUAGUGAGCCAGGAUGGCAUUACUCCAAAUGAAACAAUGCCAAUUGACUUUGGCCUUCUUCCUCCUUAAGGCCUCCCAAGCCGAGGCCACCGAGAACAAGCCCGUCGAGUCCUCCCUCCAACAGAACCGAUCUUGGGUUCCAGACAAGGAAGGAAGCGGCGAACCCCAAGACUCAAUCUCUGAUCUGAUAGCUCGUCCAUCCUCAGAGAAGAGAUCGGCAACCAAAGCCUGCCUAGAGAGAUCGGAGCUAUAGAUGAGGGGAUCCGUGAAAUAUAAAUUCAAAGGACCCCUGGGAUGCCAAUUGUCGAACCGGAGCGACGCUGAUAAUCCAUCGCCUAACCUCCAGUGGAAGUGAAGCCGGCAAUCUGUCCUGAGUUGUAAAUUUUUUUUCCACGCCCAAGGGCAGCAGGUUGGCUUUUUAACUACCCAGAAGUUCUUGGUUUUUAAGAAGGUCGAGUGGACCCACUUACACCAUAACGAUUCUUUAUCUGAAAAUAAAUUCCAGAUAUGCUUGAGCAUGGCCGCUUUAUUACACACACGCAAUCUCCGGAUACCAAGACCUCGCUCCACUUUAGGAAGGCAUACAUCUUCCCAUGAGACUUUGGCACCCCCCUGCCCAACUCAGGUCCCUUCCAAAGGAAUUGUCUGAGAAUGCGCUCUAUCUGGUCCAGUACAGCUACAGGAAGAAUAAAGACACUUGCCCAAAAAGCCUGAAUGGCAUGGAGGACUGACCUGAUCAGCUGAAGUCGGCCAACAAAAGAAAGAAACCGAUGAGUCCAGGACUGCACCCUGGAGGUGAUGCGCCUCACAAGCUCAACGCAAUCUGCCUUCUGGGGCCUCGAUGUGAUAAUUGGAACCCCAAGAUAACGGACUGGAAGGUUACCCUCAACAAAGCCAAGCUCCAGGAGGAUUUGAUUUUUCAAGGUCGGCAGGCCUCCCGAGAUGAACACCUCGCUUUUCCUUGGGUUUGGGAAAAGUCCGCUCCAAGAAGAAAACAUAUGGAGACCAUCCCUGAGAAGCUUCACGGAUGGCAGGUGGCCCUUGCAAAAUAGAAAGACAUCAUCCGCGAAAAACAAGUGCGAGAGGCAAGUAGACUUACAUCUCCAGUAGAAUCUGAAAUCCGGCUGUAGCGAGCACCUCCCAAGAAUCCCAGAGAGCACCUCCAUAACCAACGUGAAUAAGUAGGGAGAGAUGGGGUCUCCCUGACGUAAGCCUCGCCCACUAGGGAAGAAACCAUGUAGCUCCUUAUUCAACGCGAUGGAAAACCAAGGAGUCCUCACACAGGUCAUGAUGAGGUGAACCAAUUGAUCAGGAAAUCGAAAAGCAAGUAGUACACUCUCGAGAAACCGCCAAUCCACGGUAUCGUACGCCUUUUUGAAGUCGACUUUGAUAGCACACUUGGGAGAAUAGGGUUCGACGUGGAACUUAGAGAAAAGUUCCUGCGCCAAGAGAAUAUUAUCCCUAAUUCGUCGUCCCUUGACGAAAGCACUCUGAGACGGAUUGACAAGGUCUUUUAGCACUGCUACAACCCUAUUCGCCAUCACUUUGGUAAUAAUCUUGUAGACCGUGUUGCAACAAGCAAUAGGCCUGUAGUCAUCAACGGUAGUCGCAUUGGGAACCUUCGGAACCAUGACCAAAAUGGUGUUAUUGAUUUCUCUGAGCAGCUUCCCCGAUGUGAAAAAGUCCUUCACGGCUUCCGUGACCAGCUGACCCACCGUAUCCCAAUUCUCCUUGAAGAACUCAACCGUGAAGCCAUCCGGACCUGGUGCCUUACCUCUGGCAAGGGAAAAAAGAGUAUCUCGAAUCUCCAGAUCAGUCACAGGGCGAGCAAGAAAAGAAAUCUGAUCAUCAUUUAGCUGGGUGCAGAUAACUUCACGAAUCUCCGAUACCUGAGGGGUGUCCAGCUCCAUCCUUGGCUUAAGGAGAUCAUGAAAAUGCUCCACAAAAUGCUGUUGGACUAAUUGAGGCUCAGUGAUUUGGUUACCUGAGGAAUCCACAACAAAGAGAAUUCUGUUUCUCAGAUGUCUCUUACUGACAUACUGGUGAAAGAACUUUGUGUUCCGGUCACCUUCCUUGAGCCAUCUUAUACGAGCUUUCUGUCUAAAGAAUGACUCUUCCUGAGACCUAAGCUCCACUAAAGUACGCCGCUGAACUCUCUCCAGGUCCGCGAGGACCAUGCUGGUAGGGUCAUUGAGGAGGCCCACUUGAGUUUGCUUUAAGGCUUCCCUCGCUUCAGAAGUCCUUACAGAGAUGUUGGCGAAGGAAUCUCUAUUUAACUGCUUGAGCCGACCCUUCAAGAUCUUUAGUUUGCCCACUAGCCUAAACAUGGGCACUCCAUAACCCGGAUUGUCCCAAACUUGCUUCACAAUUGAGUCGAAAUCAGGGUGCUGCAUCCAGAAUUCGAAGAACUUGAACGGCCUUUUCCGAAGGAUCGGGUUCUCCACCUUUACCACCAUAGGUGAGUGGUCGAAAAUCCCAGGCGCAAGGAAGGACGCCUCCGAAAAGGAAAAAACCUGGCUCCAACAAGGGUUUACCAAGACUCUAUCAAUCUUUCUCAUCUUCCGAGAGGGCCCUGAAGAGGUCGACCAAGUGUAUCGAAACCCCACAUACCGAAGGUCAUCCAGCUCCGCCUGAUCUAGACACUGCCGAAAUUCAUCGAAGCACGGCAACCAAAGGUCCGAGCCACCCAAUCUGUCCGAUGGGUCCUUUAUAGCAUUAAAGUCUCCCAAAACAAGCCAAUGCAGGUCCUGCAGAGAAUAGCUUCUCACCACCAAAUCCUCCAAAAGAGGUCGACGAGUAGAAAAAGAAUGCUCAGCAUAAAUAACAAAGACAUAGCAGGCCACUCCGGUCUCCAACCAGCAAAGCUUCCCAAGAAUCAUCUGAUCCGAGACCGAUAAAACUUCAAAGGAAACCACAGUAGGAUCCCAACCAACCCAAAUCCUACCCCGAUUAGAGUACUCAGAAUUAGCCCGCCAGCACCAAUUCGAAAUCAAGUUCCCAUAAAUGACAUUGAAGAGGUUAUGAGGGAUUUUAGUCUCAACUACCCCGAUCAAAGCCAACCGGUUCAUCAAAGCGAAGUUCCUCACUUUCGCUUGCUUGAGAGGGGCACCAAGCCCCCUAAUAUUCCAGCAACCUAUGUACAUAUAUAUACAAAAGAAGAGGGCAAGAGUAUUACCUCCUUUUAGAGGAACUACACCUAGUAAUAGGCGGAGCUGUCCGGAUCGUCGAAGGAGGAGGAUCCGGGGCAAGAGCAAGCAGGUUGUCCUGUGUUGUCGAAGGAGGAUGCUCCGGCGUCUCAGUAGGCCUCUCCUCCUCUACAGAUGCCUUCGGUGAAGUGCAAAGGGAGAGGAGGUCAUCCUCCGACAAAGAGAUGUCUGUGCCCCCUGCAACCUCCAGGCGGGGCACCGCAAUGUCUACCGGCACUGAAGUGGUGAUAGCUUCAGCCGAAGUAGUUGGAGCAGUAUCACCCUGCUCCGAGAUAAUCAAAGGCCCUCUAGGGGGCCUUCGUGAAUAAGUACCAGGCAGCCUCUUCUCCACAGCCGCAGUCUUGAGAUUCAAAGACCUCUCUCCUUCACUAGGACUGGGUGACAUCCCCUCCAAAGGUUGAGCCUUGUUCUUCUUGCUCUUCACUUGCUUCCAGCCUUGCUUCGAGUCUUCAGGAGUCUCGACGGGUUGGUCAAGGGGGCGAGCGGGGGGCGGGGCAACAUCACAUUUAUGUCCAAAGACCCCACACUUGGAGCAUUCAAGGGGCCUCCAUUCAUAGUUCACAGCAAUGGACAUAGUGAACCCAUCAACAUUCACUUCCACCGUCGAAACUUUCGGCCGAUUAGCUUGGAUCUCCACGCAUACUCUGGCAAAGGAAAUCAUCCUCGUGCCCUCGGUUCGUUGAUCCACAUGAAGGGGUUUGCCAAUGGAGCUGGCUAUGACACUAAUCGCCGGUGCGGACCACAAGUCGAGGGGAAUGUUCUUGAGUCUUAUCCACACCGGAACAGAGGUUUGCUUAGCCUUCUUCAACUCCAUAAGGGGUUUCCAUUAUUGUAAAAUAAGGGGAAUCCGAGCUACAGUGAUCGGUCCCUCCUCUAGGAUCUUCCUCCUGAACUCCGGGUCCGGGAUAUGGAAAUAGUAGAACUCUUGGUCAUCCGCUAGAAUAUCAAUUAGCUUUGUCCCCCAAAUAUUCUUCAAAGUCUGUUCGAUCAUCUGAAAAGAAAGCUUCCUCCCAACAAAAUUCCUACCAAGAACUCCUUCCAUUUGGGAUCCGCAGCCUGCAGCACUUCUCCCGACAGAUUUACAACCGCUUUCUCUCCCACAACAGCAGCAGGAGGAAUAUAUGAAAGCUCGUAGCCCUUUGUGGCCAACCAUGCCACAUUGGCCCACGAACGGGCUUGGGGGGGCCUUGACGAGCUUGCUGGCUUGCUCGGGGCCCUCUUAGUAGGAGCCCGAACUUGACUUCGACCCCGAGAACGGCCUUCCCGAAGAGGCCAAGAGAUUGGCCCACGUCUUGAGCCAUCCCCUGCCACAGAAGACUCUCCUACGGGUCGAGAUUGCUGGCCCGGCUUGCUAGUUUGCCGGUCCACAGCCUUGUGAGGAGGGGAGCUCGGCCCCUUACCCCUGCUACCACCUAGUCGAGGUUCCGCCAAAGUAGAGGCCAUCGAGCCACUAAGACAACAAAAACUCAACAGCCAAAGAGGAGCUCCAUACCAGGCCAAGCUUCGAAGAGGAGGGAUACUCUGAACCACCCCAGCCGCCUCAAAACCAGAGUCGAGCAGGCCACGAUCCCGAGCAGCUCCCGCAAGUCUCGAACCAGGGCUGAGUGGAGGUCCGAGCGUGAGCAGCUCCCACAAAGGCUACGAACCUGAGCCGUCACGAUCCAGAGCCGAGACGGGUCGGAGCGUGAGCCGAGGCGGGUCUGAGCGUGAGCCGAGAGGGAGCCCCCAGCCGUCCCGAGCCAGAGCCGAGACGGGUCCGAGCGUGCGCAGCUCCCGCAAGACCGUCGAACCAGAGCCGAGGAGGAGUGGGAAGAUGGAGGAAGGAGAGGGGAAGAAAACCCCCAAAAAUUGGAGCAAGAGGGAGGCCGAAUCAUCCAGGCCGAGCAGGGAACCAGUCGGCGUGAACAGUGCAUGAUCGCCUGCCUUGAGAGAGGAGAUGAACAGUGACACGAGAAAACAAAUGACCCCUAUGUUUUUGUCGGCGUGUUUUCGUUUUUUUUUUUUUUCAUUUUUGCUUUUUGCGCCGAUGGGGGGAUGAUAGGGACUGCACAUAAGUUAUUAUGGCUUUUGGUCACUAAAGUUAUUAUAUGCUUCAUUUUAGAAGUAAAAUUAUCCAAGAAUCCAAACAUCUAUGAUUUAAGGUUCAGCUUUCAGUACUAUUAAAUUCUCAAAAUGAGUCAGUCACUUUCAAGUUAGAAGUUAUGUCUUCUACCAACUUCAUUUCUUUAAAGUCAAAGCUAAAGCCAAAAACUCAAACCCACAACUAAAAGCAGAAAGGCAAGCUGAAACUCACAGCCACCCCCAAACAGGCCUUGACAUUUAUGUUUGUGAUUAUUUGACAAAAGUAGUACAAUGAUAAGUUACUUGCCAAAGGAUUUACAACCUAGGAAGCACAUACAGUGUGGACAUGCUAAGUUAAUCUACAGUCCCUACAUCAAUGUUUCUGUGGUACUUCUGACACAACAUACAAGUUAGCAAUAUCUUGGACCAGAAAACAUAAUAAAUUCCCAGACUUACAUGGGACUGUAUCCUUAAAGAGAAUUUUAUUUGCUGCCAGAUUUAAUACUGCAAGCAGAGAAAGGAAUUACAAUCUAGGAAUGCAAACGGUGUGGAUGUGUUAUCAGUCCCUAAAUGAACAUUCAUCCAUAGCUUGUAACUUUACUUAUGUCUAAUGUGCAAAAUCUAAAAUUUACUAGCGCUUUUCAAAUUCCGAAUCAAAAGACGAAGACAAAAGACCAUCGCACAUAAGUGAAUCUUGCUCCAGAUAAUGGAGGAGAAACGUAAGCGAAUAUGACAGCAAACCGAUUCAAAAGAAAAGGGAAAAAAAAAAAACGGAGGCAAUUACAGCCUCUCUUACCACACGGAGAGCAACAACACCUGGAAUUGCAGAACUGACCUUACCGCUGAUCACGUCGGUAGCGAAAUUGCAAACAACGUCGAGCGUGCUCUCAAUCUGCGUCUUCAGGAACCAAGUUGGUGCGAGCUCCGAAUUCCUCCACCAGUAGUGCCCGACCAUGCGGCCCUCGUCCAAGUUGGUGAUCGCGCCCUUCUCCAGCUCCUCCAUCACCUCGAACGCAGCUUGGAACCAGGGCUCCAUCUCCUCCACAAACUCAUCCGUAAACCGAUAUGGCUCAUGUCCAGGAAAAGUCUAGCUCUUGAUGCUGAUACAGCCAGUCCAUGUACCUCCCCCACAGCAAGCGGGAAUCCUUCUCUAGCCCGUGCCUCUCCUUCUUUGCCCCGCCGUCCGCCCUGCCCAGGUCCGUUGAGAUCUCUCCUGCGAUCGAGCGGGCCAGCGUUAGGGACAGCGCUCGCUGGGGAAUGAGAUCGAGGUCGUCUCCCUCGGGCUGGAGACCGACGGCUUCGCGGCGGAGGCCGGGGGCGUCUUCGGCCUGAGGGACGAGGAGGAUGAGCAGAUGCUAGAGGCGGAGGAUGCCAUCGGCGGCGACGGCACGGAGUCGAAGCUGAUAACGAGUUCGUCAGAGGGAUGCAUUCGGACGGAGGUUCAUAAGUUGCCGGGAGACCAACGCGAGCACAAAACUUGUGCUCGAUCUCUGCGUUGGAAACGAUCGGAGGUGGAGGGGGUUGGGACCAGCUGCGACUGGCGGCAGUCUUGGAUGAGGCAACAUGCCAGAGACAGAUGGCGGCGAGGCUUUUGGGGAGCCGGAGCCAGAUGUGGCAUCCCAGAAAUUCAAAGCCAAGCCAUAAGGUGUGUUAAAGCCUUUGAUUAGGUGAUAGAAUUUCCAUGGCUUAUGCUUUAGCCAAUUAGUCUUUUAAUUUGAUGAUUUGUGCUUGUGACUGUGGAAAUUUAAAUUUAAUAGAUUAAUAAUCUAUGCUUGGCCAUAUGAUUUAAAUUUUAAUGAACAAAAAUGUCCCGAGACUUUGGCCGAGACGAAAAUUGGAAUUUAAAAAUAUUUAUAGAAGAAUUUCAAAAAAAAAGAAAAAAGAAAAAAAGAAGAGGGGUCAGAAUUCGAUUGGGCCUUAAGCCCAAGAGUGGAACCUUAAUGGGCCAAGUUGGCCGGCCCAUUAAAGCCCACAAGGGGGCUGUCGACCAGCCCAAGGAGGAGUGGCUGGAUGGGCCCAAGCCCAAGCCCAAACCCAAUUAAAAAAAAAAUCAAAAUGACAAGUGGCAAAUGCAUUGGCCAUUGGUGAGGCAAUCUCAUGAUUGCAAAUGAUGAGGAUUAGGGAGUAUAAAAGGGGAGGAGAGAGAGAAGGUGGCCGGUUUUUGCUUCAUUCGGCCGAGAGAGAGGGUGAGAGAGAGAGAGAAAUCGCGAGAGAGAGGGAGAGACCGAGAGGGAGAGGAGGCGGAGCCGAGGAGGAACCGCCGUGUGCCGCCGUCCGUUCGCCGUAUAUGCCGCCGUACGCCGUCGACCGUCCAUCCUAGAGGCAAGUGGAGUCCUCUAACUUCUCUUGCAUGUGUGUAUAUGGUUUGCAUGUUCGAUUUUGGGUGUUUUUAGUGAGAAAAACCGAGGUAAGGGUGGUUUGUUCUCAAGCCGUGUGACUGUUCUUGCUCGGGUUGUGGGAGUCAGUAACUUGUUUGAGUUUGAAUGUGUGUUUGGAGUCCGAUUUCGGCUUCUAUGUCUUCAUGGAAGUUGUAGAUAACGUCUUGCACUAUAACAUACUGAAAUUUCGUGGAAAAUGAUGUAGAUAUGAGGGGUCAAAGUCCUAUUCUACGGAGACCCCAGAUCUGUGAAGUUUUCACUGACCUCUUGUUGGAUUCUUGUUUGCAUGUCGAUUUAUGUUGAAUAUUUGACUACAAUGUCUUCAUGAAAGUUGUAGGUAACACCUUAAACUACAACAUACUAAAAUUUGAAGAGAAAUGAACAAGUAUAGCUUAGUAAAUCGGCUAGAUCUUGGAGACGAUGAUUCUGGUGAUGUGUUCCGAGACACCCGAGACUUCAUGGACUUAAAUGGUGACCAUAAUUUGGUUAUUUGACCUAGAUCUCUUCAUGAAACUUGUAAAGGACACCUUGAUACAUAACAUAUCAAAAUUUCAGAGGAAACGAAAGAGAAUAGAUGGGUGAAAUCUAAAUAUUUCGGAGAUGUGUAUUCUGGACGAUGCGGUAGUGGUUCCAGAAGCUUCGUGAGGUCGUGUAAAAUAAUAUAAAAAGAAUCUGACUUGGAGUUCUUCAUGAAAGUUGCACGAAAAUAUCUUGGCUAUCACCCUGUAAAAUUUCGUAAUUUUUGAAGGUCGUAUGAAUAUUUUAAUCGAAUAUAUUUGGAAACUGUGCUUUCUGGCUUUUAUCCGAAUAUGAUGUGCUAUUUUGUGGAAAUUGUGAAAUUCAAUUUGGCCAUGAAUUUUGCAUGAAAUUUGUCACCUUAUUGGUUUGUUUAAUGAUUGUUUGAAUAUUAUGAUUUUGGGAAAAUCAUAGAUAUUGAAUUUAAUAUUAUUUAUGAAAAUAAAUAAAUAUAAUAAUGAUAAAAUAAUAAUAAUAAUAAUAAUAAUAAUAAUAAUAAUAAUAAUAAUAAUAAUAAAAAGGGAUUAUUUUAUUGGCCAUAAAUUCCAUUGAAUUUAUUUAUAAAUAAUUAUGCAUUGUUACAUGUAUAAUAAGACAUUGGUGUAUGUAUGAUCAUGAAUUGUGAUGCAUGUGUGAAUCAUAUGCCAUGUAAUAAUGAGAUCAAAAGAAUGAUAAAUGUGGAUAAUGAUAAGUGAGUAAGUGGUUGUGGUAGAGGAUGAGGCCGGAAUGUACAGAGAUGCAUUGCUGGAAUUCCCUGGGAGAUUCAGGAUGCCCGGAAUGUGGGGGGCCGGAAGCCUUGUCGGAGGUCUUUGCCCGAAAGGAAUGCCUCGCGAUGCCAGGAUUUGGGUGCGAGAUGCCUGGCUAGAAGGGUAAAGGCCGGAAGCCCUGUCGGAGGUUUCUGCCCGAAGGGAAUGCCUCGUGAUGCUAGUUGAGAUGCGAGAUGCCCGGAAUGUGGGGGGCCGAAAGCCCGGUGGCCUGGGAGGCUGAAUGCUGAUAAAGAUGAAAAAUUAAAUCAUGACAUGAAAUGCAUGUGAUGUGAUAUGAUGAUCACCCAUGAUAUUAUAUGCAUGAUGAUAUGCAUGGUAAUAAUGAUGAUGAUGAUAUGUGAUGUGAUAUGAUGAUCACCCAUGAUAUUAUAUGCAUGAUGAUAUGCAUGGUAAUAAUGAUGAUGAUGAUAUGUGAUGUGAUAUGAUGAUCACCCAUGAUAUUAUAUGCAUGAUGAUAUGCAUGGUAAUAAUGAUGAUGAUGAUAUGUGAUGUGAUAUGAUGAUCAUCCAUGACAUGAUAUGCAUGAUGAAAUGCAUGAUGAUGAUAAUGAUAUAUGACAUGCAUGAUUUCAAGGUAAGUAAUGCCUGCAACGUAUGAUGAUAUGCAUUGUGCAUUGAGUUGUUAUUGGAUUUCCCUAUCUGCUGAGUGGUUGUACUCACCCAUUUUGGGGAAUAACAUUUCAGAUUAGCAAUAUGCCGCUUCCUGCCGUCUCGCGGGGGGUGUUUUAUGGUCUACCAUCCGAUGUAGAGGUCGAGUGUGCUGAGAUAGAUUGUCCCUCUGUUCCCGGACUGACUUUUAUUCGAGUACGCUGUCUAGUGAUGUACGACAUAGGCCUGGCUGGGGGCCCUGUCAUUCAGAAGUUCAUUUUUGUGCACGUUUGUCGGGAUGGAGCUAUGCGAGGGAUGUUGCCGCCGCCACCGCCUGACGCACCGGGUUGGGUGUGAGACCCCCGCGCGAUGAGUAGGAGCUGGAUCUUUUUGAUGUAGAUAGUCGACACUUUCGAUGGGGGUUUGUGCUCGUAAGAUGUUGAGGGUCGAGGGUUUCUUUUUGCGAUUUUAGGCAGGACAUGGCAGAGUCCUAGCUUUUCUUGUUUUGUAUCGACCCGAGAAAAAGGAAGUCCCAUCCUAAAAGAAUAUGUAAAUAAUGUGUCAAUGUUUGUUUAUAAAAUCCUGAUGUUUAGCUGGUGUGUAUUGGUAUCAUGGAUUGGUAGGGGGAUAGAUGGUGAUGUUUAAUUUGCUUCCGCUAUGAGUCGCGCUGAGACCGCUUUUAAAAGAAAAAAAAAAUUUGCCUGUGAUUAACGAUGCUUGUUCUAAGUACUUUGAUAGGAAAAGGUAAUAAAGUGUAACAUCAGAGCUUGUGGCGAUCGCCGAAGGGUUCGGGGUGCUACACCAGAGCCGGAGACGGAAGUGAAAGGGGGUGGGAUGGGCGGAGAAGUAACAGAUGAAGUCUCGAUUGUUCUCUGUUUGCGAGAAGAGAGGAGAGAAAAAAAAAAACCCAGCAAAUUCAAGUGAGGAGAGAGAUUUUUUGAGCGGGAGUGUUACGUAUUUAUUAGUCCAUUGAGCUGUCUGUCCUUUCUUCGGCCAGCAAGCCGAGAGAACCAGCCUCUCCAUUUUCCGGUGGGUCCUCAGAGGACGCGUGUCGAUAUUUUAUUGAUAUGUGCACACCAGGUCAGUAGAUGACGUGGCACGCACAUAUCACUAAAUAUUUUCUUUAUCCCGAGGAUCAAGAUGCAUGAUCUAAUGUCUCCAGCUGGAUCCGAUACGAUAAUUUGUCUUGAGAGAGUUUAUAUUAAACCAGAUCACAAUUAUCACCCAGUUUGGGAGGUUACAACAAGUACAUCAAAGAUACGCCUGAACAAGCCCAUGGAGAUAAGCCCAGAGUAGGAAUUCUGGACGGUGGACAGCACCGAUCAAUUCAUCUUUGAGUUGACGUACAUCUCUCUUCUUCUAGACCACUCCAUGAGAAUUUAGGUGGCACAACUACCAGCACACGCUCUCUCUCUGACUAGUAGCUGUGUGGAUUAUCUGGUCGUUAACAAUGACAUUUGUCGAAACAACAUUGGGGGAACUCUAUCUGGAGGGCAAUAUAAACCCGAGCUAUCGAAACGAGACGCUGCCCCCCGGAAGAAGGAUGGAUAACCCUAAACCGUCCCCGGAUCCUCAACACAUCCCACGCCACGCGUCGCCUCCCGGUCCUCGGCAUCAUGAGCCUCCUCCUCCUCAUGGCCAACUUGCCCUUCCCGCCCCACACCCACCAUCUACAGGCCCUUCUGAAGCCCUCAAGCCUCCCCAUCCUGAUCUUACCCCUGCCCCUGCCUCUGCCGCAGCCCCAGCGAUCAAUCAAACUAAUAAUAUCCGAAACGAUGGUCUUUUUGUGGGCUGGAAUUUAAACAAGGGAUGACUUUCUGAGACGUUCUUUAUGAGGAGCCGAAGCUUGAGUUUCUUCCAGUAUGGUGUCUACUUUUAUCAGUUCAUAAGUACUUCUACGUAAUAAUUUUCUGUACCCUGCUUUAUCAGGGGGAUGGUGUCUGUGCUACUUAAACAUCAUGCUGAGUUCUCCUCUGAAAUUAUGUAUCUUCCACUAUGUAGUACUGCAAUUAAUAUAAGUGUUGCCAUCCAUGCUUCUAUUUGUCCUCAUGAAGCAUAAUGAAGUUGUUGUUUGAAGCAAUUAGUGUUGCCAUCCAUGCUUCUAUUUGUCCUCAUGACGUUCAUCGAUCCCCCCCUACUAGCUUUUGGAAUAUCUAUCCUAACAUAAGCUCUAAGCCCUCGUUCUGUGCGAAUCGAAAGGUCCACGAAGCUUGAGUUACCACCAAGAGUUGCAGAAUAAACUGGUAGAUGCAAAAAAAACAGAGGGAAAACAGUUAAGGAACGAGCAGCUUAAGGCGAGUAGAAUAACCCACAAAGAACGAGCAGCUGUAAACUAAGACGGGGAUUGCCAGAUCUGGCCACCUCGAGGUCGCCGGAUCUGGCGCCGGCGGAGCUCGGGCGAGCCGCGAGCUCUCCCAACCCAAUCCAGGCGAGCCCAGGCUCCGCCGAGGGCGGCGAGCUCCCGGCUCGCCAGAUCCGGCGACCUCGAGCCUCGCCCUCGCCGGAUAUUCCAUUGGGCGAGGCUCGAGCUCGAGCUCGCUGGCCUCUGGCCUCGCCAGAGAUCGGCGACCGCGAGGGCGAACCAGACGAGGCCCAAGGCUGGCGGUCGGCGGCGGCGAGCCUCCAGCUCGCCCGAGCUCCAUCGAGAUGAGAGCGAGACUCAGGCUCGCCAGAUCUAGGCGAGCUCGAGCUCCGCCGAGGCCGGCGAGCUCCGCCGAACCAGGCGAGCCCGAGCCUCGCCCGAGCCGGAUCUAGCCUCGGGCGAGGCACAGCCUCUCCUGUCUCGCCACAGGCCAGCGAGCUCCUCGCGGUGGCCUGUCGCCGCUGGUCGCGGGCCAAGGAAGAAGAAGAAAAGGGAAGAAAGAACAGAAAAAAAGGAGAAAAAAAUUAAAAACUCGAUUUCAUUGCCCUUCUUUCCUUACUCAUUUUCCCCGGAAGCUGUCAUUUCUGCCCUCUUUCUCACGAAACCUAGGUUUCUGAUCUCAUCCUCCUCCUCCUUCGACAUCGACGAUCGACAGCAGCCGAGCGCUCUCGGACGAAGGACGAGGGUUUCUGAUCUCGUCCUCCUCCUCCUUCGACGCCGACGAUCAGCAACGGCGGAGCGUCCCCCUCGUCCAGCGGUGCUCGAUCUCCACCCUCACGAAGCCCAGCAUUUCUGAUCUCGUCCUCCUCCUUGAUGUCGACGAUCAGUAGUGGCCGAUCGCCGCUGCGAUUGCUCCUCCCAGCCGCUCCUCUCCCUCGGCGACGGUAUCCUCACUUCCUCAUUUCCAUCGGUUUCCCCCUGUUGCCUUUUGUUUCUGUUGAUCAGCUCGGUGCCGAUCGAUCGCUCGCCCCUCGGUCGCCACGAUUGAUGUUCCCGCGUAAUGGAUGGAGCUGAUUUGGCGGUGUUUGCGUGAUCUUGCAAUUCACCCUCUUGGUCGUGUUUUUUAUGUUUCCGAGCCUUGAGAAGAUUUUUGCCGGGCGAUUUAUGAUGGAUCUAACGUGAUUGUGUUUAGCUUUGCUGGUCAUGUCGGCAGCUUGUGUAGUUUUUAUAGGGAAAGUGAAGGAAUCUGUUCUUCAACUAAAUUUUAGAUUUCUUAUAGUUUGAGCUCUCCUCUCUCUCUCUCUCUCUCUCUCUCUCACAGAAUUGAAAAGCGAGGCAAGAGUAAUUUCGGGAUGUGUCAUCGUCAGGUCAUCCCGAGGGCCAAGACGCAUGAUCUAAUGCCUCCAGCUGGAUAAUUUGUCUUGAGAGAGUUUACAUUAAACCAGAUCACAAUCACAGAUAAGCACAGAGGAGAAAACUACACCAACCCUCAAGGUCAUUAAAUCAGGAUUCUGGACAGUGCACGGAUCAAUUCAUCUCUGAGUUUGACAAUCAUCUCCCUCCUUCUAGACUACUCCAUGAGAAUUUGGGUGGCAAAACUACCAGCACACGCUCUCUCUGACUAGUAGCUGUGUGAAUUAUCUGGUCGGUAACAAUGACAUUUGUCGAAACAACAUUGGGGGGAACUCUAGCCUGAGAACAAUAUAAAGUUGCACCAUCAAAACAAU
rnacentral:lncRNA from 1 species